rnacentral:rRNA from 1 species
GAUGAACGCUGGCGGCGUGCCUAAUACAUGCAAGUCGAGCGAACGGACGAGAAGCUUGCUUUUCUGAUGUUAGCGGCGGACGGGUGAGUAACACGUGGAUAACCUACCUAUAAGACUGGGAUAACUUCGGGAAACCGGAGCUAAUACCGGAUAAUAUUUUGAACCGCAUGGUUCAACAGUGAAAGACGGUCUUGCUGUCACUUAUAGAUGGAUCCGCGCUGCAUUAGCUAGUUGGUAAGGUAACGGCUUACCAAGGCAACGAUGCAUAGCCGACCUGAGAGGGUGAUCGGCCACACUGGAACUGAGACACGGUCCAGACUCCUACGGGGGGCAGCAGUAGGGAAUCUUCCGCAAUGGGCGAAAGCCUGACGGAGCAACGCCGCGUGAGUGAUGAAGGUCUUCGGAUCGUAAAACUCUGUUAUUAGGGAAGAACAUAUGUGUAAGUAACUGUGCACAUCUUGACGGUACCUAAUCAGAAAGCCACGGCUAACUACGUG